UUAUAAUUUGCCGGUUCUGGUGCCCGCACGCGCUUCUUCGCGUGCAGUUAAACGGGAAACACGGAGCGCAGGUGCCUACGGCGCCGCGCCAACGUGUGCUGCCCCCGCAACGGUAAACAAGCGCCGCCUUCAUGGCGGCUGGCCACCCCGAUAACCACUUCGCGCUCGCGCCCAGGAAGGUGGGGAAGGUCGGUCUUGUUAGCCCGGAUACCGGCCAGGACAGGGGGAAGACG
rnacentral:ncRNA from 2 species